rnacentral:snRNA from 1 species
GGAUGUGAGGGCGAUUUGGCUGCAACACAUGUCACCCCAUUGAUCACCAGGGUUGAUUCAGCUGAUCUGGCUGACUAGGCGGGUGUCCCCUCACUUCCUCCCUCACUGCUCCAUGUGCCGCACGCUUGAGGACAGCUUUCCCCAAAUAGAGAUGGACCAGUCUUCUGUCAAGGGUAUAUGAGUAGCUCCGCUACCCUGCUAGAACCUCCAAACACGUUUUCAAAAAAUAAAUGCUUGACAAGUUGGAUGGUUAUAGACAGAAGUAGAUAACAUAGUGGUUAUGUAAAAAGUCUCU